AUUGAACGCUGGCGGCAGGCCUAACACAUGCAAGUCGAACGAGUGGCGGACGGGUGAGUAAUGCUUGGGAAACUGGCUUAUGGAGGGGGAUAACUACUGGAAACUGUAGCUAAUACCGCAUACCAUCGGAUGAGCCCAGAUGGGAUUAGCUAGUUGGUGGGGUAACUGCUCACCAAGGCGACGAUCCCUAGCUGGUCUGAGAGGAUGACCAGCCACACUGGGAUUGAGACACGGUCCAGACUCCUACGGGAGGCAGCAGUGGGGAAUAUUGCGCAAUGGGGGCAAGCCUGAUGCAGCCAUGCCGCGUGUAUGAAGAAGGCCUUCGGGUUGUAAAGUUCUUUCGGCGGGGAGGCGUUACCUACAGAAGAAGCACCGGCUAACUCCGUGCCAGCAGCCGCGGUAAUAC
rnacentral:rRNA from 1 species